rnacentral:rRNA from 1 species
AGUGAACGCUGGCGGCAGGCCUAACACAUGCAAGUCGAACGAGAAAGUAACUUCGGUUAUGAGUACAGUGGCAGACGGGUGAGGAACACGUCGGAACAUACCUUUUGGUUAGGGACAACAGCUGGAAACGGCUGCUAAUACCGGAUAAGCUCUACGGAGGAAAGAUUUAUUGCCAGAAGAUUGGCCCGCGUCUGAUUAGCUAGUUGGUGAGGUAAUGGCUCACCAAGGCGACGAUCAGUAGCUGGUUUGAGAGGAUGAUCAGCCGACACUGGGACUGAGACACGGCCCAGACUCCUACGGGAGGCAGCAGUGAGGAAUAUUGGACAAUGGAGGAAACUCUGAUCCAGCCAUGCCGCGUGAGUGACGAAGGCCUUCGGGUUGUAAAACUCUUUAAGUGGGGAAGAUAAUGACGGCACCCACAGAAUAAGCACCGGCUAACUUCGUGCCAGCAGCCGCCGUAA